rnacentral:rRNA from 1 species
UACGUAGGGCGCAAGCGUUGUCCGGAAUUAUUGGGCGUAAAGAGCUCGUAGGUGGCUUGUUGCGUCUGCCGUGAAAUCCCGUGGCUUAACUGCGGGUCUGCGGUGGAUACGGGCAGGCUAGAGGCUGGUAGGGGCAAGCGGAAUUCCUGGUGUAGCGGUGAAAUGCGCAGAUAUCAGGAGGAACACCGGUGGCGAAGGCGGCUUGCUGGGCCAGUUCUGACGCUGAGGAGCGAAAGCGUGGGGAGCGAACAGG